UGGGAACUGUGUCGCCGCAGCAGUGGGCA
rnacentral:piRNA from 1 species